CUCCGUGCCACUCGGAACCAAGAAUCAGUGCGCUAGCGUGAACCAGCAGUCAGUCAGUCAGUCAGUCAGUCAGACAUAUGCAUAAUGUCCGUAACACACAGAACCGCUCUGAACUGGUAAUUGUGGGAUCAUAACCAUCAUAACCGAUCAUAACGGCUGUAGGAUAUGGCCGCGUGAUAGUGACGAGUGCACAUGGGAACGUCAUGUUAUUUUAUGUUCACGCGGUGUUUUGAUUGGACUGAAAAUAAAUGUUGCUAAUAUUAUUUAUGUUUUGUUUUCAAUACGGAAUAAAUGAAGUGUUAAUUACAUAACCACGAAAGGAAUGAAAUAAGCCGAUGAAUACAGAAAGAAGAUAGUGAACAACCUUGACCACCUGUGGUGACACAUGUGGGCUGAGGAAUGUAAUAAAGUUGGUAAAGCAAAGGAAAAGCUUGUAAUAUUACCGAAGUAUAUCAGUUUCAUCUUGUUUCCUGCAAAGAGAAGAUGAGAUUUCUCAUAUUGACAGAAAGUUAUUCCAAAACCAAUGUGAAACAUAACAAGAACCAUGAGAAGAUAUUACAAGAAAUUAAGAAACUUUAAAAGAAAUAAUAAAACAUAUGUGCUAUGGCAGAUCCUGUCACAAGCCUACUGAAAUUUGCAAACUUUGCAACAGGACAAAUAAGAGAAAUAAUCAGACUUGGAAAGAUACCUGUAAGGCAAAGAGGAAACUCGAGAUAUAAGAAGAAACGUAUUACUGAUGUCAGCCCUUACUGUAUUAAACAAGGAAAUAUACGUGACCAGGACUGUUCAGAAGUUAAUUAUGGAAAUGCUGAUUCAAAAGUUAUUUCCCAAGAACAAGCCAUUGAUAUAAAAAAGCAGCAAGACAGCAACAGUGUGAAUCAGAGUGGAAAAUAUUGCUUUGAAAGAAAUACUCAGGAGUGGCCUCUGGAAUGUAGUUUAGAUAGUAAAGAUCCUACAAACCUAGUUGGCCAAAAACAGUCGCCCAACUACAUAGAUAAAUUUUCAUGGUACAUUGGAACUGUGGAUGAAAAUGUGGAACUUCAUAAUUACACUCCAGCAUUUACUGAAAUACCAGACAGUGAAGGUGAUGAAAUUUGGAUCUGAGGUUCUUAUAGCAGUGACUAUGAAGAAUACUGUCUUUUGGGAUGUGAGACUGUGUAGUCU